CAGUAUCUCUCAAUCCAUGUAAGGAAUUCUGGAGAGGAAGGUGGCAGCAUUACUAAUCAGAUGUUUGACUGGGAAAUGUAAAGAGAUAGUCAUUACAUGGACAUCUGGAGAAAAAAACAGCACAUGGAAGUAUCAAGUGUUCUGGGGCCGCCCAGGCAGAGGACAUCUUCUCCUAUGGAUUUCUCCUGGGCAAGAAUGGCAUCUCGGUGCAGGACCCGCAGCACUUUCUCUGGCUCCGCAGACCCGUAAUGAGCCUCCAGAACCUCAGGCUUGGUUUUCUCUGUCUUCAGCAUGUGGAUCACAUCUUCUCUGGCCUGUAAUAGAAAGUGCAGCAAGAUCAGACGACUGACAAUGUAAAUCGCAUACUGGGCUCAAAAAAUCAACAGAGAGCUUAUUGAAUACAUCCCCAUCUUGUCAGGGC
ensembl:lncRNA novel transcript